rnacentral:rRNA from 1 species
CUACGGGCGGCUGCAGUGAGGAAUAUUGCACAAUGGGGGGAACCCUGAUGCAGCAACGCCGCGUGGAGGAUGACGCAUUUCGGUGUGUAAACUCCUUUUAUAUGUCAAGAAAAUGACGGUAGCAUAUGAAUAAGCACCGGCUAACUCCGUGCCAGCAGCCGCGGUAAUACGGAGGGUGCAAGCGUUACUCGGAAUCACUGGGCGUAAAGGACGCGUAGGCGGGUUGGAAAGUCAGGUGUGAAAUCCUACAGCUUAACUGUAGAACUGCACUUGAAACUUCUAAUCUAGAGUAUGGGAGGGGGAGAUGGAAUUAGUGGUGUAGGGGUAAAAUCCGUAGAUAUCACUAGGAAUACCUAAAGCGAAGGCGAUCUCCUGGAACAUUACUGACGCUAAGGCGUGAAAGCGUGGGGAGCAAACAGGAUUAGAUACCCGGGUAGUC